rfam:Fusarium oxysporum Fo5176 contig05385, whole genome shotgun sequence.
GGUCCUAUAGUCUAGUGGUCAUGACGUUGGAUUUUGAUCACCCUCAAAGUCUUCCAAAGACCCCGGUUCGAACCCGGGUAGGACCU